UACGUAGGUGGCAAGCGUUGUCCGGAUUUAUUGGGUUUAAAGGGUGCGUAGGCGGUCUUUUAAGUCAGUGCUGAAAUAUCCCGGCUUAACCGGGAGGGUGGCAUUGAUACUGAAGGACUUGAGUGAAGUCGAGGUAGGCGGAAUUGACGGUGUAGCGGUGAAAUGCUUAGAUAUCGUCAAGAACACCGAUAGUGAAGACAGCUUACUAGACUUCAACUGACGCUGAGGCACGAAAGUGUGGGGAUCAAACAGGG
rnacentral:rRNA from 1 species